rnacentral:rRNA from 1 species
GGCUCAGAUUGAACGCUGGCGGAAUGCUUUACACAUGCAAGUCGAACGGUAGAGGGGGCAACCCCUUGAGAGUGGCGAACGGGUGAGUAAUAUAUCGGAACGUGCCCAGUCGUGGGGGAUAACGUAGCGAAAGCUACGCUAAUACCGCAUACGAUCUAUGGAUGAAAGCGGGGGAUCGCAAGACCUCGCGCGAUUGGAGCGGCCGAUAUCAGAUUAGGUAGUUGGUGAGGUAAAGGCUCACCAAGCCGACGAUCUGUAGCUGGUCUGAGAGGACGACCAGCCACACUGGGACUGAGACACGGCCCAGACUCCUACGGGAGGCAGCAGUGGGAAUUUUGGACAAUGGGCGCAAGCCUGAUCCAGCAAUGCCGCGUGCAGGAUGAAGGCCUUCGGGUUGUAAACUGCUUUGUACGGAACGAAACGGUGAGCUCUAAUACAGUUUGCUAAUGACGGUACCGUAAGAAUAAGCACCGGCUAACUACGUG